UGAACAAAUCCACAGAGCCUUGUGCUCACCUU
rnacentral:piRNA from 1 species